UACGAAGGGGGCUAGCGUUGCUCGGAAUCACUGGGCGUAAAGGGUGCGUAGGCGGGUCUUUAAGUCAGAGGGGAAAUCCUGGAGCUCAACUCCAGAACUGCCUUUGAUACUGAGGAUCUUGAGUUCGGGAGAGGUGAGUGGAACUGCGAGUGUAGUGGUGAAAUUCGUAGAUAUUCGCAAGAACACCAGUGGCGAAGGCGGCUCACUGGUCCGGUACUGACGCUGAGGUGCGAAAGCGUGGGGAGCAAACAGG
rnacentral:rRNA from 1 species